GUUCUCCGGAUUAAUAUUGACAAGGAAAAAUUUGCCAUGUGCUCGGACUUCACUCUUUGCUCAAAAAAAUCCACUUAUAAAGGUUAUUGAUGAAAUCUAUACCAUGAACACAGUGCUAUGUUCGUCGAGAUUUUAUAAGAGAUUUUAUAUGCUCUACAGUUAUAUAAUUACGUUUACAGUUUUGUGUUGAUGACCAUCAACACAACCAUGUUUCUUAACUGAUGUAUUUUAUAAUAAAUUUGCAGAUUAUUUGCAACUUUUAUAGCAUUAUACCAUACAGUUGUAUAUUUUGAUAUAUAUUUGCCGUUAGAGUUUAUUGAUGAAAUCACCAUGAUCAGUGCCAUGUUCGUCAAGAGAUUUUAUACGAAAUUUUGUAAUUUUAUAUGCUCUACAGUUAUAUAAUUACAUUUACAGUUUUGUGUUAAAAAAUAAAAUUGUUAUAAAAUU